rnacentral:rRNA from 1 species
AACGAACGCUGGCGGCAGGCUUAACACAUGCAAGUCGAACGCCCCGCAAGGGGAGUGGCGCACGGGUGAGUAACGCGUGGAUAUCUGCCCUUUGGUUCGGAAUAACCCCGGGAAACUGGGGCUAAUACCGGAUGGUUCCUACGGGAUAAAGAUUUAUCGCCAAAAGAUGAGUCCGCGUACGAUUAGCUAGUUGGUGAGGUAAUGGCUCACCAAGGCGACGAUCGUUAGCUGGUCUGAGAGGACGAUCAGCCACACUGGGACUGAGACACGGCCCAGACUCCUACGGGAGGCAGCAGUGGGGAAUAUUGGACAAUGGGGGCAACCCUGAUCCAGCCAUGCCGCGUGAGUGAUGAAGGCCUUCGGGUUGUAAAGCUCUUUUGGCGGGGACGAUGAUGACGGUACCCGCAGAAUAAGCCCCGGCUAACUUCGUG